UGUGAUUCUGAUUUCAUGAGGUCCUAUGGC
rnacentral:piRNA from 1 species